rnacentral:snRNA from 1 species
GCGACUUUGACAUUACAUACAUUAAAAUGAAAACGAUACAGAGGAUAUUAAUAUAGCGUCUGCACAAGGAUAAAACAUUUUUUUUUUAAAUUGACUCUAAGUUU